UGGUUGAUUGUUUGGUUGUGCUACUUCCAUAUUUCGGCUGUUUUUGUAAGCUAAUCAGUGGUCUUUCCAACUUUGGCGAGCAGGAUUAUGUUAUUGGCUUGGGAAGACCUCUGUUUUUGUAAGCUAAUCAGUGGUCUUUCCAACUUUGGCGAGCAGGAUUAUGUUAUUGGCUUGGGAAGACCUGGCAGAAAUAUGCAUUAAUCAUGUGAAGCCUGGUGAUUUUAUCUAUGUUUCAGGUAUCUUGGGAUUCUACGAUAAUAAAGAUGAUUACGGUUCACAGC
rnacentral:lncRNA from 1 species